UACGUAGGGUGCGAGCGUUGUCCGGAAUUACUGGGCGUAAAGAGCUCGUAGGCGGUUUGUCGCGUUGUUCGUGAAAACUCACAACUCAAUUGUGGGCGUGCGGGCGAUACGGGCAGACUGGAGUACUGCAGGGGAGACUGGAAUUCCUGGUGUAGCGGUGGAAUGCGCAGAUAUCAGGAAGAACACCUAUGGCGAAGGCAGUUCUCUGGGACGGUACUGACGCUGAGACGCGAAAGCGUGGGGAGCGAACAGG
rnacentral:rRNA from 1 species